rnacentral:rRNA from 1 species
GAUGAACGCUAGCGGCAGGCCUAAUACAUGCAAGUCGAGGGGCAGCAGGAAUAGCAAUAUUCGCUGGCGACCGGCGCACGGGUGCGUAACACGUAUACAAUCUGCCUUUAACAGGGGGAUAGCCCGGAGAAAUCCGGAUUAAUACCCCAUAACAGUGAUCUUGGCAUCAAGGACACUUAAAAGCUCCGGCGGUUAAAGAUGAGUAUGCGUCUGAUUAGCUAGUUGGGGAGGUAACGGCUCACCAAGGCGACGAUCAGUAGGGGAUCUGAGAGGAUUAACCCCCACACGGAUACUGAGACACGGAUCCGACUCCUACGGGAGGCAGCAGUAAGGAAUAUUGGACAAUGCCCGCAAGGGUGAUCCAGCCAUGCCGCGUGCAGGAAGACGGCCCUAUGGGUUGUAAACUGCUUUUACACCGGAGAAAACCCCACUACGUGUAGUGGGCUGAUAGUAUGGUGAGAAUAAGCAUCGGCUAACUUCGUGCCAGCCGCCGCCGUAA